CACGUAGGGGGCGAGCGUUGUCCGGAUUUAUUGGGCGUAAAGAGCUCGUAGGCGGUUUGUUGCGUCGGCUGUGAAAUCCCGAGGCUCAACCUCGGGUCUGCAGUCGAUACGAGCAAACUAGAGUGUUGCAGGGGAGACUGGAAUUCCUGGUGUAGCGGUGAAAUGCGCAGAUAUCAGGAGGAACACCGGUGGCGAAGGCGGGUCUCUGGGCAACAACUGACGCUGAGGAGCGAAAGCGUGGGGAGCGAACAGG
rnacentral:rRNA from 1 species